AUCUUAUCAUCCUUUUUACGUUUUGAUUUCCGAUUUAAUUUGACACGCUUUCGAGUCAUGUUCAAAAAUAAAGUUUUCUGUCCAUCGGCCUCUACUGGAAUGUGUCAGAGCAAAGUCCGAGACUAGAACAGAAGCAUCAGAUAAUACUGACGAAAGGACAUGAUCCCCUUCUCUCUGUUGAGCAAGCAAGCAGGAGGAUAUGUCCUAGCACAACAUAAUUUGAUUUCUAAUCAGUGUUUCCAACUCAUAGCUGCACUUGCAGCUUCACAGUUAUGUGGUGGUGACCUGGCUGCCACCAUUUGACAACGAUCCUCUGCCAGCUUUACCUGAUGAUGCUGCAACCAAGGACUUUAUUUUACUCCCUUCAUGGGAGUUAAGGCACUGGAUUGUAUGUAAUCUUGGCAAAUCAAAUUUCACCUGGCUUUUAGACUAUGUCCUUACUGAGAGACUGUGAGGGUGCACCACUUCAGCUUGGAGGGACUGACUGUGUGAUAUUCAUGUUUAUGUAUGCCCUUUAUGUGACCCUUGGGAAGCCCUUUGAUUUUUCAGCAGUGAGUUUUUAUACAUUUCUGGUUAUCUGUUCUGCAAAAAGGAUUGAAAACACAAUUAAAAAUGUAUGCUUAAGAUUUUCAAUUUCAUCUUUUAUCAGUCUGACAAGACUGUAAUCAGGAGGUGGUGGUGCCAUCAGUAACUGCAGGCAUUUCCUCUGGCAAGGCAUGAUACUGAUAAAUAUAUUUUGGAUGAAGAUAUCCAUUAUGUGCAUUCCCAGUAUGCAGGUCAUUUGUAAUAAAAAAAAGAAUGCACACUGGAAACAAUUUGACUUUUUUUUUUUUUUUUUUUUUUACUUUUUCUUCAAAGCCAACAGUCAGUCACCAAACAAAUAAUCCAACCGGAUCUAAACAUCAUGGAGGUCACCCCAACUACAAGAAUCCAUGUCUCGGUGGUGAUGAAACCGAUUCUGCUCGCCUGUGACUGGGUGGAGGAGAACAGAACCCACUUUGUUGGGAAAGUUCACUUACCACAGGUCAAAAGGAUGAACGAGUAUGAUGCCUUGAUGGCCAUAACAAUGCGGGACCUGUUUAUUGACACUAUUUUCUAUGAAGGUGAAAUGGAUGAGGACAAAAUCCAGACUCCCUUCCUUUUCACCUUUGAGAGAAAAGAGGACAUGGAGUUUUUAAUGAAAAAUAUGACAAAAUAAAUAUUUGUAUGUCUUGCCUGCACAACCCUCACUUUCAACAAGAUAACUGAUGGGGUAGAUCUGGGUAAAUUUAGUUUUGUAUUGUCUUGUAGUUUUAGGUUUUUUAACCAAUUAAAGUUUUGUGGGGAAAAAAGUGUUCUUGAAACGUAAUAUACUAAAACUCAGUUUUGUAUCUUAUAUCUUAUUAUACAUUUUUUUCCUAGAUUGAAGAUUGAUUCUUAUGUUAGCUGUACAUUUUGCUAACAAAGGUUAAUAGAAAUAAAAUAAAUACAGCAACACUUGAGAGCAGUGAAGUAUGUGACUAAUAAAUUGUAAAUUAAGUAACACUUCCAGUCUACUAAUAAAUGUUCCUGGAAUGUUGCCUUGCAACUAGUCUCAGAGCACACUUGUCCACUUGAUUGUUUUCUUUAGUGUGACAGGUGGCUGGUUUCAGACUACUGAACAGGUUACUUAUUACCAUUUGAUUAAAACAGUGAUUUGAUUAAGAUGUGGACUGAGUCCAUCCAAAAUUAUAUUCACAACUACACUGUUGUAUAUGCAUUCAUUUUUCUUUUUGAGGUGGAGAUCCUAAGUGUACAUUUAAAAGGAAUAAACGAGAUAAGA